AAAAAAAAGCUACAAAUACAGAUGUUGAAAAAAACUCCUAAGCCAUAUUUUUGAGUGCUAAAGUACAUUAUUAAAUAACCAUGCAGUAUGAUAUUUUGUAAGGAAGCAAAGACAAAAACAUUAUAUGCUCCAAUUCCUAUCCGUGGGUAAAUAUGUUAGCAAAACCUCAGGAGAAGAUCUGGAAGGCUGUACAUGACAUUGAUCAUGAUAGUUACAUCAGGUCCCAGGGGAGUGAAGCGGUGACCCGAGGAGCGUGUGCUUUCUCUGCAGCAUGUUAAUUUUUUACUAGGAACGUUUAUUACAAACUACCUACAUGAUUAAGUUAUUUUAAGGAUAUGACAAACAUUUUUCUAUAACCUGUUUUAAUAACAUUUCAGCAAAGUGACUUUCUCUCUGCACCCUGCCUUAUCCCUGUUUGAAUUAUUUUAAUGUGCUUAUUCCCAGCAGGGCAGAAUCCUUGGUGUCUGUAGUCCUCAGAGCCCCUCGGGCACACAUCAGUCUCAUGGUCCCUGUCCUCAUAAUCUGUGAGGGACGACCCUGGAGGCUUUCUAGCAUUCCACACUUAGGGUGUUCACAACCCAUGCGCAGGUCUCCACAUCCACUUUCCUCCUCCGCUUUCACUCUCUCUUGUACCUAAGAUAUACCUCCCUGUACUCUUCAGGCACAUUCAAACCCCCACCCAUCUUGCAAUUGCUAACAGAAACUCAGCUGCUUUCAAGACAACUUUCCCCAUUCCUAAUAACUUCAGGUGAACUUCUGCUGAAUUCUGCUGUCAUUCCUUCCUUCUGCUAUGUGUCAUUAUGGAAGCUGUAGGACAUGAAGCCGGAAAUCCCAGAAUCUGAGUCUUUGAGUAUGCUCAGCGCGUGCCAUCAUGGGGCCAUGUUCUUCCCCUUUGCUCUUGGAGAAUAGACAAAGCUACCCAGCCCAGCCACAGCCUCAUAAUCUUGUUCUACCUCCCUCUCCAGCCUCAACUAUUUCCAGGCUCCAGCUCAAGUCAUACAUCAGGACCUGCAACCGGUGAUUGAACUACCAGUUUCUGAAGGCCACCCAUUCACACCUAUUUCCCGCUACUCCAGGCUAUCUGCAGCUGGAGGAGGCCGUGAGUCACCGUUUUGAGCCUAGAGAUGUAAACAGAAGUUGCUGGGAAGAGCUUCUAGGAAGCCUCUGUAAGAUGAUUAUCUCAGUUGGGUCUGUCUUUUUGCUUUGUCCAUCCCUUUUUUAACUUUGGAGUGUGCGUGUGAUACAGGAGGUGAAGCAGUCAUUUUGUGACUAUGAGGAGAUAAAGCCACAUGGGUAAGUUGGCAGAGCAGGACACUGGGAGAAGCAUGUGCUUCUGUUGGCAAUGAGGGAUCAUCAUACUAUUCCUAAACAGUCUAAGUCCUGAGGUCUCGUGUGUGUUCUUACUUGUUCAUUACUCUACUUUUUCAGGUUGUAUAUUACUUACAGUUCAAUACAAUCUAAACCUUAACCAGUCAUUCUCCUAGUUAGACUGUGAGCUCCUAGAGGGAAGUUUGGCAUGUGAUAUGUUUCUUAUGGUCCCUGCAGUAUCUAGCACGUGCUAGUAGGGAUCAGGUAUGCAAUACUCAUCUAUUGAUUGAUUUGGGAUACAGUGAGUUGAGGUAAGAGAGAAACAGAAGUCAACUCCAACACGUCAAAGAAUAAAGUUUGCUGUUGGUCUCAACAGCCCCAGGGCAUCUUUACUGCAGUGUGAUCUCUCUCUCCUAUCCAGUGAGGCUCCAAAAUAUGGCUUUAAUUAUCCUUCCUAAGUUUUACAAAAUUCACUGAGCUUUUGUCUUUAAAACAGUAUUCCUUCCCCAUCUCUGGUGUGAAAAAAAAAUUACGACCAGAGUUUUACAUCUUUUUCUUUCCGAUAUUUCCAGAAAAGUAUGCCCUAGUCUAAUUUGCAGGUGGAAAUUGAAAAUGUAUCUCGCUGACCUCAAGGGAUGAUAUUCAGGAGCUUCAGGGAAUCUUCAGCUAAUGGGAGAAGCACAAGCAGAUUAAUGGAUCCCAAAGACAAAAUGCCUAUCCUAGCUCAAAUGACAUCUCGUGGAUCUUGAAAAGUGGAGCUUUCUGUGCCCAUCUUCAGAAAGAGACAUCAGACAAUCUUAACAUUUCUGCAGCUGAACAUGGGAUGAGAAGAGGGCAAUCUUCCAGUGGGUCCACCACAUUUUCUUUCCAAUUGAGCCAAUUCAUGGUCUCUUCUGGCAACUGCAAGGCCAGAUGUGAAUUUACCACUUUAUUGAGUGAAGCGGUCUGGGCAUUGUGAGACUCACAUAUGCACCCAGAGGGGAAGGGACCCUCACUCUGGGAAUGGAAAUCAAUUCAUAAUUGUACCCAGACAAAUGGGGCACACACUUCAGAUCUAUUACAGGAUUUAGUCGGAAUCAGAAGAACAAAGGCAUAAAGUAGAAACACAUUCAUAUGCCAGGCACAGGUAGGGGCUGGGGAGGGUAGAAAGUCCAGGGUUCCUGGCCGGCGAAGAAGGGCUCUGCUCAGCAUCUCAUGCUGGAGUGCAAGAGUAUAAAAUAAGGUAACUAAGGACAUGAAGCUUGGCCGCCUGCACCAUUUGAAAAAAGAAAAAUCAAACUGUGUUUUAUGAGUUUUUCUGGCUGAGUGGGCUGAUGGUAAAAGUGAUUGCAUAAGUGAAUAAAUUGAAAUAUGUAUCCUGGUUGUGUCAAAAGCAAAAAUAAUUAUUUUGUUCUUGGUGAGAUAUAGUGUUUAACUGCCAACACAUCAACCCAAAUAAAAAGGAAAUCUGCCUUUAGAUCUAGUAAUACAUUUAUUAACAAAUGAUGUAUCUGAAUUAUCCAUCGUUUUGAUCCACAUUUUGCAGAAAGGCA
rnacentral:lncRNA from 10 species